rnacentral:rRNA from 1 species
GAGUUUGAUCAUGGCUCAGGAUGAACGCUGGCGGCGUGCCUAACACAUGCAAGUCGAGCGAGAAUCUUGGGAGCGGAGACUUCGGUCGAAGCGAACAAGAGGAAAGCGGCGGACGGGUGCGUAACGCGUGGGUAACCUGCCUUUCACACAGGGAUAGCCACCGGAAACGGUGAUUAAUACCAGAUGAUAUACUUUAUUUGCAUGAAUGAAGUAUCAAAGAUUUAUCGGUGAAAGAUGGACCCGCGUCUGAUUAGCUAGUUGGUGGGGUAAAGGCCUACCAAGGCGACGAUCAGUAGCCGACCUGAGAGGGCGAACGGCCACACUGGAACUGAGACACGGUCCAGACUCCUACGGGAGGCAGCAGUGGGGAAUAUUCGGCAAUGGGGGGAACCCUGACCGAGCAACGCCGCGUGAGCGAUGAAGGUCUUCGGAUUGUAAAGCUCUGUUGGAUGGGAAGAUAAUGACGUACCAUCUGAGGAGCCCCGCA